ACCCACUUCCCUUGUAGUGUCACCAGCGUUCGCUUACUGGAACCGUGUGACCCAUCAAACCCACCUGACCUUACCUUAUCCUUGAUCAUCCUUUUAACCACUGUUUUCUCCCUUAUCUUUAUUUCCACCUGUUCAGAUCUAGAUCUAAAAUUUGAAGAUUGUUACCUAAAAUUUUCAGCGGUCUUCAAGGAAUCUGUUCGAUGAAUCUCAUUGUCGUUAUUAUGAAAUUCCUUACUGCAGUAUGCAUAUCUUUUCUACCAUCUCUUGGAAUCUUGGUAGUGGAUCACGAACCUCACCCUAUUAUAUACUUCAUCAUUAACUCAAACCACUUCACGCUGUUUUCAAACAAUGCCGCCUCACACCUCCUUAUGCCGCCAUCUCAUGCCGCUGUUGAUAACUGCCCCACAUCGUCGUGAUAAGAGAACUUAGAGCUUGCCUCGCUUUCACUUUCACCAUCUUUGCAACCACCAGAACUGUAAUAACUCUGAAUAAUAAUAAGGACCUGAUGAAGCCAAAGAAUAGCUGAACGGAAAAUGGUCGAUAUAUGACCAUGAAAAUGGCCGAAGGAUGGCCGAAUAAAGAAAUUCAAGCCAAGACAGUUUUGAUGAACGAUUUAGGUUCUAAUAAGUAAAUUAAAGAUGAAUAAAGCAUUAGAGUAUUAUUGGCAUAAAAAUAGUACAUAAAAUUGAAUGGCUGUAUCAAUGUUUAAACUCUUGGGAAAUUCAUGAAGCACCAGAAAGCCAAAAAUAGAAAGGGAAGUGUUCAAAAAUGAGAAGUCAAAAUCCAAAGGACAAAUAACUUAGAAAGUAGUUGUGGUCGGAGUACAAGUUGAAUUGAUUCCAGUAUUAGUUGCAUUGGUCAAGAAAUAACUUCUCCGAUAGUUCGGAAAAGAUUGCAGAACACUAUAAUGGAAAUACCACAAGUGAUGUUGAGAGCAGUGGCGGAUGCAGGAAUGUAAUUAGGUGGAGCACAUACAUAAAAUAAUAUUUUUCAGUUGGGGGCAUUUUAUAGACACCAUAAGAAUUACUGGAGGAAAAUUUUACAAUGAGAUGGGGGGGGCACGUGACCCCAUACCAUUGGCUGUACGUCCGCCCCUAGUUGAGAGAAUAUAUUUACGAAAUCUCCAUGAAUAGGUUAAAACCUUAUUCCAUGGCAUUUACAUGGGAUUUCUUUUUUUUUAUUCUUAAGCAAGUCCCCGAGAGAGCUUAGUUGAUCCAUGAUUUAUGUUUCGUCUUUUCUUUCAUGUUCGUUUGUUUCAAGAAAGAGAUCGAUCAAUUUAAUUUUUUUUUCUUUUUCUAUUGAUUCUUUUGGGAUUGAGAUAACAAGAUAUCGUAGGAUAGAAAGCGAAGUGGUGUUCAGCUGCUUGAGAGGUGCUUAAAUUUGAAGUUGAGUUUUGAAAGAAGUAAGGGUACGAGAAGAUGGUUACCAGUAACACCCAUAUUCGUUCCUAGUGUUUCUAUGAUGGUUAUCAGUUGCACUCCUUAUUUCUUCUUUUGUUCUCUCCAAUAUUGUAUUUUUGUCUAUCAAGAAUUAUAAGGAUAAAAUAAGAAAAUUUCACUAUCGGGCGUCGAAGUUGGUUUGCUCGGCAUAAUAUCAAGAAUCUGAACCACUAGGAGACAUCAAAUUUACUGCUAUAGUAAGCAUAUUAUAUAUAUAUAUAUAUAUAUAUUAAAGCAAACAAAAAUAAUAAUCUCCAAUUAAUAUUCGAUAAAAUUCUGAUUUGUUGUGUAGGCGUCAAGCCCAAUCCAAGCAAAGAACUAGUGCCUAACGAGUUCUUGAACAUGGCUUUAAAAAAUAUUUCUUAAAAAAAUCAAUUUUUUUUUGGAAAGCUUGAUUUUUUUAAUAGAAAAAAUAUUCUAAAUCUAGCUAGAUUACAAAUCCUAGAACCACUUUAAUAGAACUGAAUCAACAUAAACUGUAACUAAAUGCAUAUUCAGAUCACCUCGUGCAAGUUUGUCGGUGAUUGUAUUUUUUGCCAUUGGAAUAUGUUAGAUAACAAAGUUGUAGAAAAAAUUUUCACAUCGUAGAAAUUUAUCCAUAUACGUAAUGAAAGCAGAUCAUUAUGUGAGUGUAGACACUAUGUUCACCAAUUGCGAAUGUUGUGAACACCAUGUAACAUCAUCUGCAUAGCGAACUUUGAAAAGUAAACAAGGGAAAAAGUCGUAUCUUAUCGCGACAAGUGGAAAUUUCGUGAGAAGUGUAGUUUGAAAACCUUACCAACCGCGUUCAACUUCUUCAUAGUGGAGUUUGAAAACCCUAUCAACCGCGUUCAAUUUACUUUAAAUACUACAUAGCUUCAACUCAUAAUGCAUCGAUAUAUAAAAGCUUAUAUCUGUAAGUCGCCUCUAUAGACUAUAGUUAUCUUUUUGGGGGUUAGUUCUCGAUAGUUACUAUUAAUUUAUUUAUUUGAAAGAAGAAGAGCGCAAUGGCGAUGAAGACAUCACAUGCUCCUCUGUUUCGUCUUCUUUUUUGGCUAUUAUUUGUGGUUGGUCUUGUAGGAGCUUCAGGUCCGUACAUACAUACACCACCAUCAGGAUCAUGCAGAGGUGGCAUUGCCAAACAAGAUUCAUCAGAAGUAUUAGCGAGGAGAUCUCCACCAUGUAGACGUCCUCGCCUCCAAAACCCAUAAUACACUAGCCACGCUAGAGUCCCUUGAACUGUAUUUAAUAAUGAUUUAUGAAUUGUUUAAGUGAUAUAUGGAGUGAAGUGACUUCAAUUAUAUAUUUUGUUUUAGAAAUAUUUAUCCUAUAAGGACAUCUCCAACCCACAA